rnacentral:rRNA from 1 species
GACGAACGCUGGCGGCGUGCCUAAUACAUGCAAGUAGAACGCUGAAGGAGGAGCUUGCUUCUCUGGAUGAGUUGCGAACGGGUGAGUAACGCGUAGGUAACCUGCCUGGUAGCGGGGGAUAACUAUUGGAAACGAUAGCUAAUACCGCAUAAUAGCAGUUGUUGCAUGAUAACUGUUUGAAAGGUGCAAUUGCACCACUACCAGAUGGACCUGCGUUGUAUUAGCUAGUUGGUGGGGUAACGGCUCACCAAGGCGACGAUACAUAGCCGACCUGAGAGGGUGAUCGGCCACACUGGGACUGAGACACGGCCCAGACUCCUACGGGAGGCAGCAGUAGGGAAUCUUCGGCAAUGGACGGAAGUCUGACCGAGCAACGCCGCGUGAGUGAAGAAGGUUUUCGGAUCGUAAAGCUCUGUUGUAAGAGAAGAACGAGUGUGAGAGUGGAAAGUUCACACUGUGACGGUAUCUUACCAGAAAUGGACGGCUAACUACGUG